AUUCUCUUUAUUUUAUUAUUUUUAUAAUUCCCUAUGCUUAUUUAAUUGUAUUUUUUGCCCAUAAAAACCCUAUAAAUAUGGACUCAUUUUCCAUUGUUGAAUGUAAUAUUUUAGGUAGCAAAACUAUAUCACAUUCUAGUCCCCCUUCUCAUCUUUUCUCUCUAGAAUUUGGUGAGAAUGUGUAGCAUAAUAAGCUAACCUUCUUAGGAAGGUUAGGAUGAUCUUAUAUGCACCAUGACUUUGUUUGGUAUCUUUGAUUCACCAUGUACAUCAAGGUUAUAUAUUUGAGUGAUUUAUCUUCUUUCAUAUCUUCAUCUUCAUCUUAUUAUCUCUAGAAUUUGGUGAGAAUGUGUAGCAUAAUAAGCUAACAUUCUUAGGAAGUUAGGAUGAUCUUAUAUGCACCAUGACUUUGUUUGGUAUUUUUGGUUCACCAUAUACAUCAAGGUUAUAUAUUUGAGUAAUUUAUCUUCUUUCAUAUCUUCAUCUUCAUCUUAUUAUCUCUAUUUAUAUUUACUAAUAGUAUAUAGACUUAGUCAAGCUCUUUCUAUGUAUUAUAAAUUAGUAAAAAUAAUAUAGAUAACAUCUUUACAAUUUCCUCCACCUUCUUCAUAUAUGUUCAUUUUUUCUAAAACUAUAUAGGAUUAGUCAUACUCUUUCUAUGUAUUUUAUAAAUAAUAAAAGUAAUAUUUUUAUUACGUUUUAUGUCAAAUCUUUUAUUGCAUUAUUACCAAUGGUAAAGUUUCAUAUAUAGAUUUCUCAUAAGACUUAUCCCAUCCAUUACAUUGUAAAGAAUUUAAUUACUCAACCACCUUUUUGUGAAAACUCUUUUUGUGAAUCAAAGAUCCAAAUGAAUGAGUGUUGCAUAUAGGUGAAUCUUGAUGCCUACCUAAUUUGUUACCAUUUUUUACAUCCUAUCUUUGUGUUUUCUUUUUAGUUUAAAUCAUUCACAAAAACCACAAAAAUAUCAAUUGUUCUCUUUCUUUUCCUCACAUUACUUACCUUCUAACCGUUUUGCUUGUCUCUUUGUUAAUUUACCUCCUCAUGGAAUCAACCACCCAUCUAUACUACGACUACUGCUAGUGGAAGUCACAAUUUUGGGGUAAUCACUCCGUUGGCCACGAAGCUUCUCCAGGGGGCCAGCUCCACGAUGUACGAUCUGACUGCAAGGAGGUAUGCUCAACUGGGGGAUGACAAUGAAACCUUUGUCAUUUCCUCGUGCCAUCAUACCAUAGUGAAGGAACCUUUGAUGUGCUAGCGCUUGGGGAACAUUGUGAUGGAGAAAUGAACUCUAGCAGGCCACGGAUAGGUUGGCCGAACUGAAGUCCAAGUGCAGCGCAUAUGCCGAGGAGUUGAGGAAAUUGUGGGCAAUUCUCGAGGAAGAGAAGGCCAGAUCUCAGGAGCUUGGGGAGUCUUUCGAGAAGGUAGCUACGGAGGCUAAGGCAGCCAAGGGGGAGGCACAAGCAGCCAAUGAGGAGAUUGCAAAAGCCCAGGAAUAGGCCACUCAGUCUAUAGAGGAAGCCAAGUUAGCCAAGGAGGAGGCCCAAGCAACGAAGGAAGGGUCAUUAAGGUUUAAGAGGAAGCGAAGGCCCUCAAGAAAGUGGCCUCUCGGGCCACGAAGGAGGUCAACGCCCUUCGAAGAGAAAAGUUAGUGGUCGGGGACUGUAAUAGGGUCGUGGUCUCUGAGGUCGAGGCUCUCACUAAGGAGAAGGAAGACAUUGCCGAGAAUGCUUUUUACUUGUCAUUGUUUCAAAACUGAAACAUGGACUUAAGCUUCACCGGUGAUGACGAUGCUUCUCGUGCGCUCUUUGAGGAGCGCCUCUGGGCUAAGACUGUUGUUUCCUUUGGAAAAUCCUUCGAUCCCAACCCUGUCUUUGAUCUCAUCAAGAAGGUUCCCCGAGGAUAAGAUUGCUUUGUUUUUUCUUUACAUAGCAGGCUUGCAAGCCAUAUUUUUUUGGCAUAGACAAUUUUAGUGCUCAAGCCCCCAAGCAAUAUUGUACAUAUUUACUUCUUUUAAUGGCUUUCAUGCUCUACUAUUUUUCC